rnacentral:rRNA from 1 species
AGUGAACGCUGGCGGCGUGCUUAACACAUGCAAGUCGAACGAGAACGGAAUAUAGCUUGCUAUAUUUGUCAGCUAAGUGGCGCACGGGUGAGUAAUGUAUAGAUAACCUGCCCUUAAGAAAGGAAUAACAGUUGGAAACGACUGCUAAUGCCCUAUAUGCCUUUAAUACAUAAGUAUGCAAGGGAAACGCUUUAGUGCUUAAGGAUGGGUCUGUAUGGUAUCAGCUUGUUGGUGAGGUAAUGGCUCACCAAGGCUAUGACGCCUAACUGGUUUGAGAGGAUGAUCAGUCACACUGGAACUGAGACACGGUCCAGACUCCUACGGGAGGCAGCAGUGGGGAAUAUUGCACAAUGGACGAAAGUCUGAUGCAGCAACGCCGCGUGGAGGAUGACACAUUUUGGUGCGUAAACUCCUUUUAUAUAGGAAGAUAAUGACAGUACUAUAUGAAUAAGCACCGGCUAACUCCGUGCCAGCCGCCGCAGUAAUAC